AUCUGCCUGGUAGUGGGGGACAACGUUUCGAAAGGAACGCUAAUACCGCAUACGUCCUACGGGAGAAAGCAGGGGACCUUCGGGCCUUGCGCUAUCAGAUGAGCCUAGGUCGGAUUAGCUAGUUGGUGAGGUAAUGGCUCACCAAGGCGACGAUCCGUAACUGGUCUGAGAGGAUGAUCAGUCACACUGAACUGAGACACGGUCCAGACUCCUACGGGAGGCAGCAGGC
rnacentral:rRNA from 1 species